AUACAUGCUGACGUUUGUUCUCCUUGAAAAGAAACACAGUGUCUUCAUCAAGUGUAGGGUAAGGAAAGACUGGGGGAAUCCAUCUGACCUCCCAAAAUGUAAAUGGCUACAGAGCGAUGCGUUUAAUUGGGUUUGGCGGGUUGGAGGUGUAUAUUGUAGCCGUUUGACUUUAACACAAACCAAUGAUACGUUCUGUAACUAAAAGUCAUUUAGAAAAACACCACAUUUCUGUUGUACAUUAAACAUGAUAAAAAUUUAGAAAAUAAAACUCUAUUAUUAAAGUCUGUGGCCAGGGUCCCAAAGAGAGACUGGUAAAGAGGCAGCAUCAUAAUAAUGCAUUUCAAGCAAGAUCGGUAAAUAAAAAAAUAAACUAGCACUCAACAGUUGGGGGGAAAAAAGAUUACACUCUAAGAACCAAAAACACUUCAUCUUAAUAAAGUGGUUAUGUUUGAAGAAUCAAGUGGCUUUGGUCCUGCCCCUUUGAUCUGGCAAUGGAAAACACUGCUGUUUAUGAGAAAUGUCAAAUGUUCACAUUUUGCCCAAUCACCACCACUAAUGGCUGUUAGACUGAUAACCCCUAGAAGCACUUCCACCUUAUGAUCUUCGGGUCAUCAACAAAAGCAUUAUGACACCAAACAUGUAUAAUGCUACUCAUAGAGAAGCAUUUGAUUCAGUACACCUCUGUAAGAAGCAUUGGAUUGGCUUAGCACUACACUAAGAAGGAACAUUAUAAUGCUAAAAUACAUAUUUUUAUCCUUAUUUUUUUUGUAUUUAGUGUCCCUUUAGUGUAAGUGUAAGGACUACCUAGAAAGUAAACUCCUUGUGCAAUAACAUUGCCAUUUAAGAAGGAUGUAACAAUUAGUCGUUCUAUUAAAUUGGCCAGAAAAUGCACAUUGGAGUUUCAAACCUAUAUUUUGCUAAAACCUGUUAAAAUUGUCUUUUUGUAUGUUGUGAUAAAUUAAAUUAGAUUUUAUCUUAAAUCUUACUUGUAUUAAUUUAGUCCUAUAUUGUCAUUAUCAUAGUGGGUGUACG